rnacentral:misc_RNA from 1 species
AGUUAAACAGUACGUGAAAUUGUUGAAAGGGAAACGAUUGAAGCCAGUCGUACCUUCGGGUAAUCAGCCUUUCGGGUGCGAUUCUGUGAGGUGUGAGGAGUUAAACGCCUUCAUGUUUUGCAUAUUCGUGCUCUUGGGUGUACUUGCCCGUGUGGUUGGUUAACAUCAAUUUUGGACGCCAUAAAAUGACUGGAGGAAUGUAGCUUCGAUCUCGUAUUGAAGUGUUAUAGCCUUUGGUAGAUGUGGUUUUCGAGAUUGAGGAUUGCAACGGAUACCCUUCGGGGCUACCUAUCUGAUCUCUGAUCGUUGCUCUGGUGGCGAAAGCUUGCUUACGGAUAUCAAAGUCGAUGGUCAAUAGGUUAGAAUAGGUUAAAUUCGUUAAGGAUGUUGACGUAAUGGCUUUAAA